UUUAAGUUCCUUCUGGUGUAAAUAAGACCUUCAAAAUUGCUGAUAAGGGGAGAAUUACUAUUAUUUAUUUGUUAUUUUAGAAAUGAGUCAUGUUAAAAUUGGGUAAAUGUGAGGUAAAUACUCUAUUUUGUAACUUCCACUCAACAACUGUUGAGAUGCUGGAGCUUGUAAUUAAUGCAGACUGCUGUGGAAGUUGGUCUCCCCAGGAUGAGUACUGGUCAUCCUGAGAAGCCAGCAAGACUGAAAGCCUGAAGCCACUAGCCCUUGGAGGGGCUGCGCGUCACUGUGGUUUGGGAUAAUGGACACUGACGGCUUCCAAAGAGCUCCAUACCAGGAGCUAGCUGGGUCUAGGAAGAGAUUUCUUAGAAAAGUCAUCAAAAGUGACACAUUAGGGAACUGAUUUUUUGAUGAAAGUGUCUGCUAGAAAACUUCUGACCAUCUGUAUCCUGUUGAACGAUGCAGUUGAUGUUAAGGAUUGAACAGUGCUUCAGUAUCCCUUCUGACCCCAUCCCCUUUAGCUCCCGAAUGCUCGAGCUUACCUCUCACAGCAUCAACAUCCUGUGAAGGUUUCAACUGCGCAGCCAAAAUUCAUGCUGGGCUGGACUGUUCUCUCUGAAGAGAGAGAAGAGUCUUGGCAGCUGCACCUGACAAGCCCCAGUGACUUGCUCUGUGUGCCGAGCAGGGGACACCAGCCUUGCUGCUGCUUUAAAGCAUUGGCAGUCCUCAGCUGGCUGACAGCCCCCGUGCUCUGCCAACAGCAUACUCGCCAGCAUGCUCUGCCUUGUGGGCUGAACGUUAACCUACAGGUGGCUCUUUGCUCACGAAGGUUCUUAAGUGUGAAAGUGUGAAGGUGCUUGUGAUGCCAACUUGUUUCACAGAGCUGGAAUAACGCACUGCUGGGGAGGGCUGAACUGAGAAAGCACUACCUGCUGGUGUGUCGUCUUCAUCAUUCACAUCCUGAGUGCAGAAUGCCAGCUCUGGGAGACCUUACCUGCAGAUCUACCAAAAAAUGUGUGAUGGGAGACCCAAGCAAGUCCAAAAGUGUAUGUGGAACACCACCAGAUUCAGCACGGAGGUUCCCAGGUAACGGGAUGGUCUUAAUGAUAAAAUGGGAAGGGUGGGAGUGUGUGGGGUUAUAUGGAUGCAUAUACAGACUUUAAAUGUUGUUUGAUAAUGUUGCAGUGGUGGUAGCAACACUUCAAAAAUGCACUCUUUAUUGUUCCGAUCCACUGACGUGGAAAAUACAAGUGAGGUAUCUUGGACAAGUGAGGUUUCUUGGCAUUCUGUCACCUGACCAGCCCCGUCUGUCCAGGCCUGUUUCUCAGGCUGGGUACCAAUUGAAUAUAUAUAUUGAUAUACUAAAGGAAGGGCUAGCAAUGAGAAAAGAUUGAUUGACAGAAGAGAAGAUGAUUGCCAGUGUCAAACAGGGAGAAUGCAUGUGCUAUUCCCAG
rnacentral:lncRNA from 1 species